GCUUCCCUUAACCUCUGGCUCUUUUCUGUUCAGCCAGUGGAAAUAAUGAAAAGGAUAUAUUAAAUUACUGAUCUAGAAUCUUUUUCUGCUUCUUCAACUGUUGAUCUUCUCUUCCCUAAAUGUUUUCUAUUUCUUUUCUCAACUAGGAUGAAUGGACCGAGCUUCAGAGCUUUCUAAUUUAUUCUUCCCAUCUCCCAACCAUAGCAUCGCCAUUCCUAGUAGAACCUAUUCUUUUGUGGAUAUUCAGGCUCAGAAGUUUCACAGACUUCACAGCCUUUGAAACCCAACCCAACCCAUCCAACCCAAGCCAAAUAGUCCUUCUGGGCUCCAGGCUUUGUCUAAUGCCAUGUUAUUUAGGAAGAUCCAGACACUAUACAGUGGUAGCACAUGCUUAAUAAUGAGAGCUUCAUUUGCAUGUUAGUGAAAUAUCUGAAGCCUAAACCCGUGGUCCUUCAGAAUCAUCCCAAUAGUGUCAUCAUCCCCUCAGAAGUUUUACCAUUCUACAAUUAAACAUUUCUCUGAUUGAGCUGGGAACUCCAGAGUCCUCCCUCUGUCUGUGUUACAGACAUUGCACACUGUGAAUCUGAUGGGUUAUCUCAAGCCUUCUCCAAACCCUGAUAUGUUUUUGCUAGCCUCGCUGUAAGAGAAAUCUUUAGGUUUUCUUGCUUGUUUCUUAUUUAUUUCUUGCUUAUUUCUUGCUUAUUUCUUGACCAUAUGGAAAUCUUUGACUAGGCUAUUUUGACCUUUCUAAUUUUUCUUCUUACUUUUAACAACCCUCAUCACAACACACUGUUUGGGUUUUGUUGAAAUUUGAUUUAUUCCAGCCCAUUUCCUCAAUCAAUGAUCAUUGAUGGAAGCACAUCACUUCCAAUAGUCCCUUAGCCUAAAGGAUACCACACUAAAGGAAAACACACACACACACACACACACACACACACACACACACACACACACACACACCAUGUCUUCAAAAAAUGGCAGAGGUAUCAUUUGGAUAAUUGUCAUUAUCAUUUGGAUAAGGUGUCAUUCUGGUCUGAUUAUUUUGGCUUUAAAGAAACUAGUGAUUCCUGUCUAGAAUUAGUCAAAGUAUAUUUUGGAAGUAAUGUUUUUUUCCUGGCUUUAAAAAUGUUUAUAAAAAAAACUUUUAUAACAAGCUAUUUUCCUCCGGAUGAAUUAAAUAUGGGUAAAAAAUUUUUCAAUGAUAUGUAAAGGUUUGUGUAACAUAGAGGAUGAGUCAUUCCUAAAGAAGCAAGCUGCUCUACUAGCUUCUAGUGUUCUGCUUUCAAAUUUUUCCUGUCUCUUUUUAAAUACAUCUGAAAACUGUUAACUAUAUUUUUGUUCCACUUGUGAUUCACUUGAGGGUUUGACUGUAAGAAAGCAGACUAACAUAAUUAAAUCAAUUAAAAGAGCUAGAUAAAUCUAAGGAAUAUUUAUGAAAUAAAUUUCUGUGUGAGUUUAAGAAUUCAAAGGUCAUGAAUAAAAGCUACAUAACCAUC
rnacentral:lncRNA from 1 species